UCAGCGGAAAGAGCUUGCUACUUUGCCGGCGAGCGGCGGACGGGUGAGUAAUGUCUGGGGAUCUGCCUGAUGGAGGGGGAUAACUACUGGAAACGGUAGCUAAUACCGCAUAACCUCGCAAGAGCAAAGUGGGGGACCUUCGGGCCUCACGCCAUCGGAUGAACCCAGAUGGGAUUAGCUAGUAGGUGGGGUAAUGGCUCACCUAGGCGACGAUCCCUAGCUGGUCUGAGAGGAUGACCAGCCACACUGGAACUGAGACACGGUCCAGACUCCUACGGGAGGCAGCAGUGGGGAAUAUUGCACAAUGGGCGCAAGCCUGAUGCAGCCAUGCCGCGUGUGUGAAGAAGGCCUUCGGGUGUAAAGCACUUCAGCAGAAGCG
rnacentral:rRNA from 1 species